rnacentral:rRNA from 1 species
CACACCGCCCGUCACACCAUGAGAGCGGUUUUACCAGAAGUCGCUGCGCUAACUUCGGAGGCAGGCGCCCAAGGUAAGACUGAUGAUUGGGGUG